rnacentral:rRNA from 1 species
AGGGCUUGGCGGCGUGCUAUACAUGCAAGUCGAGCGGACAGAUGGGAGCUUGCUCCCUGAUGUUAGCGGCGGACGGGUGAGUAACACGUGGGUAACCUGCCUGUAAGACUGGGAUAACUCCGGGAAACCGGGGCUAAUACCGGAUGGUUGUUUGAACCGCAUGGUUCAAACAUAAAAGGUGGCUUCGGCUACCACUUACAGAUGGACCCGCGGCGCAUUAGCUAGUUGGUGAGGUAACGGCUCACCAAGGCAACGAUGCGUAGCCGACCUGAGAGGGUGAUCGGCCACACUGGGACUGAGACACGGCCCAGACUCCUACGGGAGGCAGCAGUAGGGAAUCUUCCGCAAUGGACGAAAGUCUGACGGAGCAACGCCGCGUGAGUGAUGAAGGUUUUCGGAUCGUAAAGCUCUGUUGUUAGGGAAGAACAAGUACCGUUCGAAUAGGGCGGUACCUUGACGGUACCUAACCAGAAAGCCACGGCUAACUACGUGCCAGCAGCCGCGGUAAUACGUAGGUGGCAAGCGUUGUCCGGAAUUAUUGGGCGUAAAGGGCUCGCAGGCGGUUUCUUAAGUCUGAUGUGAAAGCCCCCGGCUCAACCGGGGAGGGUCAUUGGAAACUGGGGAACUUGAGUGCAGAAGAGGAGAGUGGAAUUCCACGUGUAGCGGUGAAAUGCGUAGAGAUGUGGAGGAACACCAGUGGCGAAGGCGACUCUCUGGUCUGUAACUGACGCUGAGGAGCGAAAGCGUGGGGAGCGAACAGGAUUAGAUACCCUGGUAGUCCACGCCGUAAACGAUGAGUGCUAAGUGUUAGGGGGUUUCCGCCCCUUAGUGCUGCAGCUAACGCAUUAAGCACUCCGCCUGGGGAGUACGGUCGCAAGACUGAAACUCAAAGGAAUUGACGGGGGACGCGCACAAGCGGUGGAUCAUGUGGGUUUAAUUCAAAACACGCGGAGAAUCUUACCAUGUCUUGACAUCUUCUGACAAUUCUUAUAAAUUGGGACGUCCUCUUCGGGGGCAGAGUGACAGGUGUAGCAUGGUUUGUCUUCUGGUCCUGUCCAGAAAUGUUUGGAUUAUCG